GACGAACGCUGGCGGCGUGCUUAACACAUGCAAGUCGAACGAAGAGCGAUGGAAGCUUGCUUCUAUCAAUCUUAGUGGCGACCGGGUGAGUAACGCGUAAUCAACCUGCCCUUCAGAGGGGGACAACAGUUGGAAACGACUGCUAAUACCGCAUACGAUCUAAACUCGGCAUCGAGGAUAGAUGAAAGGUGGCCUCUACAUGUAAGCUAUCACUGAAGGAGGGGAUUGCGUCUGAUUAGCUAGUUGGAGGGGUAACGGCCCACCAAGGCGAUGAUCAGUAGCCGGUCUGAGAGGAUGAACGGCCACAUUGGGACUGAGACACGGCCCAGACUCCUACGGGAGGCAGCAGUGGGGAAUCUUCCGCAAUGGACGAAAGUCUGACGGAGCAACGCCGCGUGAGUGAUGACGGCCUUCGGGUUGUAAAGCUCGGUUAAUCGGGACGAAAGGCCUUCUUGCGAAUAGUGAGAAGGAUUGACGGUACCGGAAUAGAAAGCCACGGCUAACUACGUG
rnacentral:rRNA from 1 species